AGUGAACGCUGGCGGUAGGCCUAACACAUGCAAGUCGAACGGCAGCACAGGAGAGCUUGCUCUCUGGGUGGCGAGUGGCGGACGGGUGAGGAAUACAUCGGAAUCUACUUUUUCGUGGGGGAUAACGUAGGGAAACUUACGCUAAUACCGCAUACGACCUACGGGUGAGAGCAGGGGAUCUUCGGACCUUGCGCGGUUGAAUGAGCCGAUGUCGGAUUAGCUAGUUGGCGGGGUAAGGCCCACCAAGGCGACGAUCCGUAGCUGGUCUGAGAGGAUGAUCAGCCACACUGGAACUGAGACACGGUCCAGACUCCUACGGGAGGCAGCAGUGGGGAAUAUUGGACAAUGGGCGCAAGCCUGAUCCAGCCAUACCGCGUGGGUGAAGAAGGCCUUCGGGCUGUAAAGCCCUUUUGUUGGGAAAGAAAUCCAGCUGGUUAAUACCCGGUUGGGAUGACGGUACCCAAAGAAUAAGCACCGGCUAACUUCGUGCCAGCCGCCGCAGUAA
rnacentral:rRNA from 1 species